rnacentral:rRNA from 1 species
GAUGAACGCUAGCUACAGGCUUAACACAUGCAAGUCGCGGGGCAGCAUGGGGGUUGCUUGCAAUCCCCGAUGGCGACCGGCGCACGGGUGAGUAACGCGUAUCCAACCUGCCCUUCACCACGGGAUAACCCGGCGAAAGUCGGACUAAUACCGUAUGUUGUCCAUUGACGGCAUCCGAUUUGGACGAAAGGCUUGGCGGUGAGGGAGGGGGAUGCGUGCGAUUAGCGCGACGGCGGGGUGAAGGCGCACCGUGGCUACGAUCGGUAGGGGUUCUGAGAGGAAGGUCCCCUACAAUGGAACUGAGGCACGGUCCAGACUCCUACGGGAGGCAGCAGUGAGGAAUAUUGGUCAAUGGGCGUAAGCCUGAACCAGCCAAGUAGCGUGCAGGAUGACGGCCCUAUGGGUUGUAAACUGCUUUUAUGCGGGGAUAAAGUGGCCCACGUGUGGGAUUUUGCAGGUACCGAAUGAAUAAGGACCGGCUAAUUCCGUG